rnacentral:lncRNA from 1 species
UGAUUACUUGGCGGCUGUAAAGGCAAUGUUACUGAGUCUUGUCUUUCCUCCUCAGCCUGCUCCCACAAGUAGUGGGUAGCUAAAGCCAAGAUGACAAAGGAGAAGCUUAGCGGCCACUGAGACUUCACCAAGCCAGGGAUCUGGAAGAUGAAAAGGCAGGCAGGAGGUAUCCUCAGAAGUUCUUGCAAUCAGCAUUGCCUUUUAAACAUCAGAUGACUGCUGCCUUUGCUGUGACCUCUACGUAAUAUGGAUUACAGGGUAAUUUAUGAAAUGAAGCAUUUCAACCGCAAUACAGUAAUUAUCCAGAGGAAAGACGCUGUUCCUAUCACACGUUCAUCUCCCACGCGGAAGUGCACACACCACGAAGGAGACAUUGCUAAUGUAUUGUGGCCCUCUCAUAUCAAACCUGAUCUUCUUAUGCAAAUUGUCCAUGUAGCACUCUAAGCAGCAACUGCCUAAGAUUCAAAGGAAAGACGUGGUUUCAGAUACUGAGAUGAAUUAAUAGCCUGGAUAUCUCAGAGGCCU